GAUGAACGCUGGCGGCGUGCCUAAUACAUGCAAGUCGAGCGAACAGACGAGGAGCUUGCUCCUCUGACGUUAGCGGCGGACGGGUGAGUAACACGUGGAUAACCUACCUAUAAGACUGGGAUAACUUCGGGAAACCGGAGCUAAUACCGGAUAAUAUAUUGAACCGCAUGGUUCAAUAGUGAAAGACGGUUUUGCUGUCACUUAUAGGUGGAUCCGCGCCGCAUUAGCUAGUUGGUAAGGUAACGGCUUACCAAGGCAACGAUGCGUAGCCGACCUGAGAGGGUGAUCGGCCACACUGGAACUGAGACGCGGUCCAGACUCCUACGGGAGGGAGCAGUAGGGAAUCUUCCGCAAUGGGCGAAAGCCUGACGGAGCAACGCCGCGUGAGUGAUGAAAGUCUUCGGAUCGUAAAACUCUGUUAUUAGGGAAGAACAAAUGUGUAAGUAACUAUGCACGUCUUGACGGUACCUAAUCAGAAAGCCACGGCUAACUACGUG
rnacentral:rRNA from 1 species